UAUAUAUAUAUAUAUAUAUAUAUGAGAGAGAGAGAGAGAGUGAGAGACAGCACAGAGCCCGGAUGCUGUUAAGUUUUUGUCCAGGUAAAACGCUCGGAAAAUUUCAUUCUUUCGAAAGCCAAUGAAGAUGCUUUAUUUUAAUCUCUGUCAAUUAAAUGACCAAUCUGAACAGAGAGUGUACUCUUCGUGUGGCCAGAACAUUCCGUGUGCGUCCAUGACUAAAAGUGUUUACAUUUUGCUGGUCGCCCCUUGCUGGUCUCUUUUGUUUGGUCGUAGUAGCUUUAUUGAUGGGGAGCUAAGCACUAUUUUUUAAAUUCGUGUAUUUUAUCAGGUCAGCUGUUAUCAAACCAUGCACCAACAGCAUUUUCAAAAAAUUUUUAACAAGAGAGUAAAUUUUAAAGGCCUUAAAUACUGAAAUGCUAAUAUGAAUGUAUGUAUUUAUUGCUGAAUUAUUAAACAAUUAACUACUUCAUCAUUCAAAUUGAGCUCGUUCAGUAGUAAUUAUAAUCGAAUCGUCACGUUUCUACAUAGCAAGAUUUUUGUAUUCUGGAAUUUCCAAAAUUUUCCUGAUCACUUUUAAAAAUAUCCAGUUAAAGUUUUAACUGUUAUUUUAGCAUACUUCAUAUAGCUAUGUAAAAUUUUUAUUUUUUAUUUAUUGAGUUGUAUUUUAACAUUGCAGGUUAGUUACAAAAAUAGUUAAGAAUCGUGAUACUCGUGAUUUGUUUACCCCAUAAUUCUCCGUUUUCAAGGUCUAUUUUAAAUUUCAAAAUCUUUCAGGCUAAUGACGGAAAUCUUAAAGCCGCAGGGCUUCUUGUUGUAUAUCAAACGAACUGAACUUUUUUGUGUCCAAGCAAUGCGCCGUUACAUGUAGUAGAAAUUGCCAUUAGCUAGCUAUAAUAACUUAUAGCAUGCUUUAUUUUAUUAAGGCAUUAUAUAUUUUCAGGCCAUAGUCAUGCUAGAAACAUAUUGAGAAUAAUGAUCAUAGCAUUUGUCAAAAAAGUUAAGAACAUCAGGCUGAAACUAAAACACACUAUUCUUAUAAAAACAGCGUGUAUAUCCUAGAGAAGAAUUUACAUAAACUGUAAAAAGUUAUUUUUCCGUUGUUACUGUUUUUAACACUACAGACUGUGUAAUUCAGUGUUGAUGUCGUUUUAAAAAAUCUAAACCUAAAACCUAAAGUUAAAUCAAUGUUUACAUCUGUUACGUUGCCGUUUGAAAUAUAUUCGAUUCUUAAAUUCGAAAACGCUGCAUUGUUAUCUUCUUUGAUUUUAUGCGUGAUUUUCUUGAUUAUAAGUUUGGGUCUGUUCUUUUAAUAUUUUGGGUUGAAAUAUUUCGGUACUUAUACAAUAUAACAAAUGAUUCAAGUUUUUAUAUUUCUCUUUUAUGUGUUUUUAACUAUUAAUUUCUUAUAUUUUGAGUAUAACUUUGGACUGAAAAGCUGAUUUUGUAUGACUUAACGAAAAAUGUAAUAUUUGGUAUCCCUUUUUUCCCUGGUGUAGUUCCGGAAUGGCAAAGCAAGUACAUCGGUUACAUCUUACAUCGGUUUAAUGAAAGAUUCAAUGGAUUCUUUCACGGGAAUUCAGAUAACUGUUAAUUUCUUAUAUUUUGUGUAAAAUAUGGGUUGCUGUAUGCAAUAGACUGAAUAUCUGAUUUUGGUAUGACGAAAUUUUGUAAUAACUUUUUUUGUAUAACUUGGCAAAAUAUGAUGGAUUUUUUAAAUGUCUGAUAUACUUUUUUCCUUGGUGUACUUCCGGCAUGGCAAAGCAAGUAUAAAUUUUAGCAGAUUUCGCUUUUUAGGCAACGGUUGUUAGACGCCUUUGAUUUUGUUGGACAUUUUGCAUUUUUUUUCGUUGUUGUUGUACCUGCUUAUAUUUUCAACGUUUUGGUUUCAACGGGUAUAAAUAUAAAGUAACAAGAAACCAGGGCGGUUUGAACACUCACACGCUUUUGAACCUGACAUUCUACCCUACUCAUCGACCCGGACUUACUGCGUUCCUCUGGGUCUAUUGUCCAAUUUUCCUUCUAUAAGAUUCUGAAGAUGUUAAGGAUCGACGCAUGCGCAUAAGAACGUAUAUCAUGGCUGCUGGCGCUCUCUCAAUGUUUUAAUUCCCAGUUCUCUAUUCGAAGCGCGGUUCGUACAAGGGUUUGCUAUCAGACUUAGUAGACCACGAGAACGCAGAGAAAUGGUUUACGGAUAGACUAUGACAUUCUGGCAGUUGAAAGAGGAUUUUUUUUAGAUUUUUCUGAGCUUAGUGAGAGUUUUAUCGUAAGGGGGCAGCAACAGUGCUUGCAUUUAGAGGGCAAUAGACUGAAUGGAAAUAAAAGAC